CUUAAUUAUCUAUGUUAGGUUAAAAUUUCCAGUCUUAUAAAAAAAAUUAUAGUUGGAGUGACCUAGAGUUCCCCUGUACUCAAUGUAACCCGGCUUUCCCUAUAAGAAUAAAUUUACUAUAUCGAAAUUCAACAAGAGGAAUUAGACAUGUUGAUUUGAAGCUUGCUCCAAGGAUUAAAAAAGCAUGUGUUAUUGAUUUGGGAAAUGGAUUAUUUAAUAUAUGGGUAUCAUGGGAUUCAAAUCACAUCAAACAAAAUUUUUACGGCUUCAUCAUUAAAUUGCGACCUACCAUUAUUGACACGUAUUCUCUUUCGCAAGAGCACUUCAUAAAAAAUCCAAGAAAGAAUUCAUUUGAUUUUAGUAAUGUGACAUCAAAUCGCGAAUACAUUAUAGCAAUACGCGUUUUAUUCAAGUAUUAUGAUAAUAAUAAAAUGAGUAAUUUUCCCUAUGCCUUCCAUACUAUCUUCAUAACUGCUCUGUAAAUGUUAGACCCAGAAUUGGAGUGUUCCAUUUUAAAUUUUUUGAGUUAGGGAGUGGAUUUUAUUUUUAUUAAUUUUCAAGAAAUAUUAUAUAAAUGCCAAAUUUGAGCUUAUUUUUGUAAUUUUUGCUAUAUAUAUAUCCACUAUCUAUCUAUAUUAUGAUAUUUUAUAAUAACCUAUUUUGUACCUUUUUUAAAAAAAUUUAUUUAAAAAUAAUGUUAACUUUAUGCACUGAAAAAAUUAUCAAUUAAAUACUGUAGUAAUUUUUUAUCAUGAAAUAAAUUAAAAUUAAAUAAAAUUUUUUUAUCUUGCUA